UCCAAUAUGGCGGCGAUUAGUUGCGGAGGAGGAUAAGUUAUUCUAAAUUGCCCCUGAUGUGACUUGGUUCAACAGGAAUAUGCUAUUUACUAUACAUAGUCGUUCGUGAAACUAGAUCCAGUAAAACCUAUAGAUCAAUCUGAAUUUUGUAAGAAUAAGGCAAUUUAACAGGUGAUGCGUGAGGCUGCUACAGCAACGAGAGUCGACUUGGUGUUCCGUGUCUGUUAGCAAGGUAGCUAGCUAGCUAGCGCUGAAGCAGACGUAGCUAGCUAGCUAACGGACUACAGGAUUUGUGGGAGUAGCAUGAGAGUUAAUGAAUUUAAUAUAGCUAACUGGCUUAAAUAAUACGCCAUAGUAGUCACAUUCUUUUAGAUUUUUCGGUAGCUAGUACAUUCAGUAAAAUGAUCUAACGUUAUAUGAGUCACUACCUCGCAAGCUAACUGGAUUGGCUAACCCUAGCUAGCUAUAUAUUUAUCUAGCUAGCAUAUACGUUAUCUUGUUAGAUGACCAAGUUACUUAGUUAGCUAGCUAGCUAGCUAGCUAGCUAUCUACCUCCAGGCAUAGUUGUGCUAACAAGCUAGUAUGGUGACCAAACAUUGUAUAUUUUGUAUGGCUGGUUGAUCAGUAAAUGGCAUUAGCCUUACUCAGUAGAUGGUCUUGGGGAUAGUAGCUAGCUAAUUAUGUUUUCGAGACUCGGGAUUUAUAACUUAGCAGUGUGUAGCUAGCUAGGAUACAUAUCCUUCUGUGGGGAGUGGUAGGCUGCAACUAAAUCUGCAGCGUAGGUUUUAGUGGAUACGAUUAGCUAUCUUAGUCAAAUUAGCAAACUGCAGUUGGCCUUAGUUCGCAAAGCAUUUUGAGACGGUGCGUUGCAUGUCCUAAAUGUACUUCAGUGGUCUGCGGUAAUCAAAGUCGAGAAACCGCUUUACUCCAAAUAAGGACUGUUGUUAGUUAGCUGGCUAGCUAGCAUAGCUAGCAAGGUGUCGCUGGAAUGCUGAUUUGUGCUGAGAUUCCCUGACCCAACAGGUUAUUAGUACUAGCUAACUAUCCUGUCUGAAUUGAAACGGAUUGUUUUUGGCUUGUAUCUGAAAUUUGAAGAGGAAAUUGUACAAGGAACGUCAUUUUGACCUAUAGUUUUAGCGUGGCAUUUGAAGCAAAAGUGAUGUAUUUUUAUGUGAAUGUGAAGCUUCAGUUUUGCGCCUUUGGGUUUGUUUGACAUGGUGGAUUUGCAAGACGUCAGAGGCUUGUAGCGUGUACAUAGGUCUUGGACAUUAUGUAGUCAGUUCAGAAAUAGCGUCUGUUGGGUUCUAAAUUGGCUUUAUUACAAUGUGCAUUUGUCUGCUUUCCACGAAAAAAUACGACAUCGACUGCUUCAUUAAAAGAUAGGUAUUUGAACGGUUUGUCAUUCUGGAUCAAGAAACACUGCCUUUCGUCUCUGGUUGGAGUAAUACUCCCAAGCCAUCAUCAAUGCCUUCAGCACUGGCCGUAUUUACUUGCCGCCCGAAUUCACACCCAUUUCAGGAACGCCAUGUCUACCUGGAUGAGCCUGUCAAGAUUGGGCGAUCUGUGGCUCGCUGUCGCCCUGCCCAAAACAACGCAACAUUCGAUUGCAAGGUGUUGUCAAGAAACCAUGCUCUUGUCUGGUUCGACCACAAAACAGGGAAGUUCUAUCUCCAGGACACCAAGAGCAGCAAUGGCACUUUCAUAAACAGCCAGCGCCUGAGCCGCGGCUCAGAGGAGAGCCCCCCAUGUGAGGUGCUGUCCGGUGACAUUAUCCAGUUCGGAGUGGAUGUGACCGAGAACACCCGCAAAGUCACUCAUGGAUGUAUAGUGUCAACCAUCAAGCUCUUCCUACCAGAUGGCAUGGAAGCUCGUCGACGAUCGGAUGUUAUUCAAGCACCACUACCACUGCCUGUUGAUAAGGUUACUGCAAAUAUGCCCAGUAUGUACUCUCAGGAACUUUUUCAGCUCUCCCAGUACCUGCAGGAGGCCUUACAUAGGGAGCAGAUGCUGGAACAGAAGUUGGCCACACUGCAGCGGCUACUAGCCAGCACACAGGAGGCCUCUGAGAGUAGCUGGCAGGCUUUAAUUGAUGAAGACCGGUUACUUUCUCGAUUGGAAGUGAUGGGGAACCAGUUGCAGGCAUACUCAAAAAACCAAACUGAAGAUGGCAUCCGAAAGGAACUUGUUGCCUUAACAGAAGACAAACUUAAUUAUGAGACAAGAGCCAAAGAGUCCCUGAGGCGAGUUCUUCAGGAGAAGAUUGAGGUGGUCCGGAAACUGUCGGAAGUGGAGAGGAGCCUUAGCAACACAGAGGAUGAGUGCACGCACCUGAAGGAGAUGAAUGAGCGUACGCAAGAGGAGCUCGGGGAGCUUGCUAACAAGUACAAUGCCGCUGUGAACGAGAUCAAGGACCUUACUGAUAAGAUCAAGCUGGUGGAAGGCAAGCAGGAGGAGCUCACUCAGAAGGGCCUGAAUGAGAAGAAGGAGCUACAGCUCCGAAUUGAGGAGAUGGAAGAGAAGGAGCAGGCUCUGCAGGCCCGCAUCGAAGCCCUGCAGGCAGACAAUGACUUCACCAAUGAGAGACUUGCUGCCCUGCAAGUCAGGUUAGAGCAACUGCAGGAGAAAAGCCUAAAGGAAAACAACAGUUUAGCUGUGAAGCAGCUAAAAGGAGCCAUGGAUUCUUCUAUUCACAGGCUAUCCAACUUUGAUGAUGUCAUAGAUGCACAUCUUCAAAACAAUCAGACCACAGAUGACAACAGCCUGACCAGUCCCGACAAACUAAAAGAACAUCAAAUUGAUGCUAAAGAGUCUGAUAUGUCAGACACGCUUAGCCCGAGCAAGGACCGAAGCAGUGACGACACUUCAGACGGACAAAUGGAUGAGCAAGAUCUUAAUGAGCCCCAGAACAGAGUUUCUAUGCUUAGAGACGAGCUGCAGAGUGCUAACCUGAAGCCUGGAGACACAGAGCAGGUCAUCCAUCACUUGCACAGAGAGCUACUGGAGGCCCAGGAGCUCGCCAACACCGGCAAGCAGAAAUGUCUUGAGCUACAAGCUCUACUUGAGGAAGAGAGGAGAGCUAACCGGCAGCAGACCGACGAGUCUGCCAAGCAGAUCCAGUACCUACAGAGCCAGCUAGCUAAGCUGCAGUCAGAUAUGGAGGCACUGCGUGAGCAGCGUGAGAGCACUAUUUCCAGCACACGUGAGGAACUCUGCAGCGCCCAGGAAGAGGUGCUUGUCUUGCGCCAUGCCAUGGAGGCUGCCAUGGCUGAGAGGGAACGUGAGAUUGCCACCCUGCAGGGAGACCUGGCUGUUGUUACAGCUGAACUCGAGAAGUGGCGGAAGAUGGCUGCCGAGUAUGAGCAGGAAAUCGGGGCCCUGCAGGCCAGCUUCCGGCUCCAAAGCGAGCACCAGGAGCGUGCCAACCACUUGCAAGACGAGCUGGAGAAGCUGCAGGCUGAGGGCUUGUGCUUGCAGAAAGAGUGUGAGUGUCUACGCUCUGAAAAGGCCAUCCUUCUGGAGAAAUUGCACAGUCUGGAGGUGGAGCUAGACAGCUCCAGAGAGCAGAGUGCUACAUUAAGUAGCAGCCUGAACGCUCUGGAGAAAUCGCAGGGUGACCUGGAAAGCAAGCUGGGCUCCAUGCAGGACCAGCACCAGCAGAGUGCCUGCAGGCUGAAGGUACAACUGACACAGGCUGAGGACCGCACCAAGAGUCUACAGAAAGAGUAUGAGGACACUCAGAGCCAGCUAUCAGAUCUGCGGCAGAGGUAUGACCGCACGGAGGAGGAGAAGCGGUCCAUCCACCAUGAGCUGGAGCAGUGCAAAGUCAGCCUGAAGCUGCUGCAGGAGAAGGGCCAGAAUAGUGGCUGGAUGCCCUGGAUGCCAAUGGUUGCUGUGAUGGUCGCUGUGUCGGCAGUGGUGUUGUACCCCUGCUUAUCUAAGAGCACCUCUUGAGAUAAAUAACCAGUCACAACACCCAUUCCUACCACCUUCUCCUGUGACCUGGACAACAGUGUGGCCCAUCGCCUAGACCCCGUGUCAGUUAAUAAAUUGGAUACGACAGCUUUGAGCGGGCAAAAAAGUGCUAAACUGUGCAGUGUCACUACUUGAAACAUGUUCAGUAAUUACUUUUUAUGGUGAAGGAAAUAGAAGGGUUAAUUUGUUUAUUGCUUUCAGACUGGAAUCAAUGAAUGGAAAUGAGCAGUGUAUGUGUUGGAGAGAAUCACUGAUCUGUGUGUUGCUGGUUCACAUUGCUGCGCUGUAAAUAAACUCAGUCAUGGAGCAACAGCUUAAUCUCUUCACCUUUUUAGUAAAGUUAUUGCUAUUUUUUCAGUCACAGCCAACUUUAAAAAAAAUAAAUAAAUAAAACUUCAGAAAUUAAGACAAAUGCAAAGCAUGGUGUAGCAUAGGGGUUAAUUGAAAAUUUCUCAAGAGCAUCAGAACACGUUCUUGAGCAUGCUUUUGUUGUGAAUGUGGACUUUUAAUAUUCUUUGCGCUGCUAGAAAGAAAGUUAAGGAGACUCCAUCUAGGCAUUUUAUUUCUAUGAAUGUAUGUGUAUAUAAAUACAUAAUGCAUAAUAUUACAUACAUGGUAUUCAAAAAAUAAAGUUGAAUAUCAGUGACACUGGUCCCAUCCAGCGCUUGUUGCAGUCAGUUUUCAGUGACUGAGUGGGCCUUUAGUUGAGACCUAUUUUGGUUUGAGGAAACUUCACAAAAUUGAUCAUUUUAGUUUUGUCACCAAUUCUUAUUUUUUCCCCACCUAAUCUGUGCUUUUUUCAGUAAAUCAGUUAUUAUACUUUCAAAGAAAAUAUUAUUUCUGAUCAUUCACAUCCAGUGCAUGUUUUUCACCUAGAAAAGUUUGCUGAACAGAGGUAUUGUUUAUAAAAAUGUUAGUCAGGCUAACAUAAAUGGUCUCGUAGUACACUAGCUAAAUAUGCUAGUUAAAAAGAAGUUACAUAUCAUUUUCAUAGACAGGUUAAAGACUUGUAGUGUAGUGUACUGUCUAAUUCUGGAAUGUGUUUUCUGAUUUUGGAGUAUGUAGCUUAUACUAUUUUAGAGUUUUGUCUGCGCACAUUAAUGAAUCAAUGUAACUACCAUGGUGAUAUUCCAGAACUAUUAGGCCAAAGGAAUUUAAAAGGGGGAGGUCCUGGGCUUGGGGUAUAGGAUCUACAAACUGCCCAGUUACAACAAGCAAGCCAGUUGGUACACAGCAUUCUGCCUGUAAAUAAUUUUGUUUGCAAAUAUUGUUUUGAGAAGCAAGAGUUCAGAAUUACUUUUCUUAAUUGUUCAAAUUCUAUUUUGUAAAGAUUGUCAAGUUAUUAUAGUUUCUGGCAAACGGAUAAAUAUUUGCACUAACAUGAUGUGCAUGGUUUUAAUAAAACAACUUUUAACUCUCCUC